UUGCAAACUGAACAUCGAUCAGUUUCUCUUGCAGUAUAGACAUACGAUGAAAUGAUAGCAUCUAUGUUCAAACCAAAAACACAUUGGUGCCCUUAUUUGUCUUCAACCUUGAAACAUCCCAGGGGACAGAAUUCAGGAGUACUGUAUUCUCAAUGCAAUAUGACACAAAUGAAAAAUCAAGGUGUAGUUAGGCUUCACAUUCAAGUGCCAAACAGUAAUACCUUGAGGCAUCUCUGUAAUUUGCAAUAUAUCAGCAAACUAAAGGAAUAAAAAGUAACCCUUAAAAAUAAGGAAGUACAUAUUUUUAUAAUGAGAUAUAGUAUCACAUACCUAAAGGUAUGGAUGUUUCCAUGUCUGGCUAUAUGUUCAUCCAACAGUAAGCAUGCCCCCAGUUUCAAUCAAAUAUUUUUUUUUAGCAAGCACGCCCUCUAGGGAAACAGCACCACGGUAAUCCUGAAUUGUAGAUAGAAUGCAAGUUUGUUCUUAAGAAUCACUUCAUAUUUCCGUAGAUUUAAGUAAGUAUAUGAUUAUGUGUGAAAUGGUAGAACCCUACUGUAAAAGAACAACAAAUAGCAGUCAUUCAAUUGUAUCAGUCUCAUGUAUUAGAUCAACCCCAUGGUAUUCAGAGUCGAAUGAUAUUGUCAAGCGAAUGGCAUACCUGAAAUUGAACAGGAAUAUCCCCCAUUUCUACAAAACAAUCAUAGGAAGUAAUAGAAAAUUACCAAUAAAUUCAUAUACUAAACUAACAUGAGGUUGAGAGAGAGAUCCAGGGUUGUAGUUGGACAUAUCACACAAAUCUAUUGUGGAGGGAUAUGGCCUAAUCUGCAGGUUGGCGUGACCGUUGACCGGAUGGAUGGUUGCGGUACCUGCACUUGCCAUCGCAGAUUCGAUCCAGACACUGCUGGUGUUAUCUCACGUGGUCUGUAUGGGACAGAGUCUGAACGACUAAUUGUUGCACAUGAUUCGGGUAACAAAGAUAACAUUAGCCAUAUUUUUAGUUAUUUCGGUUAAAACAUUUUUAGUUAUUUCGGUUAAAACUUUUAUGUGUUAAAUAACAGUGCCAUGUUUGUUGUUUUGGAGGGUGUAUUAAAUCACUGCAUAUGUCUGGCUUGAUUCCAACACAAGAAAAGCACAUUGCUGACGGAGUUGAUGGCAUCUGAAAACUUAUUUCCAGAUUAACAAGGUCUCACGGAGUCAAAUUCUGAUGAACAGGCCACGAGCAAGCCUUGGACUCUUGGUGUAUUGGGUCCCUGCAUUUGUGGUCGGUAGGCAGCAUCUUGUGACACUGCUUGUGGAUAAACACUCACAAGCAUAAUUGUAAAAUAGCGUCUGUCCAAAGGUUUACCUUUUAUUUUCUUAUUUUACCAUAGAAAUGGAGUUCUUUUCAUCUCCUGGUUCCUUCUCAAAAUUUUCAUGAUUGUAUAUAAGAGUUAGCUACUCAGUU